AUUGCUUUUGCAGGAAAAGGAAGAGCAGUAAUGCAAUGGACCAAGAGGGUUAAGGUCGCUGUUGGGACAGCUCGUGGAAUAACAUACCUUCAUGAGGAGUGUAAUCCUCGGAUAAUUCACAGAGCUAUCAAGUCCUCAAACAUUUUAUUAGAUUACAACUUUGAGGCUAAGGCUGCCAUACAUCUUAUUUGGUGCACUGAAACUGCCAGAACUUUGAAAUAGAACUAUCUACUUUGUCAUCAUAUGUUUUAAAUUCGAAUGUCAUUAUUUACUUUGAAACAGAACUAUUUAGUUUUUGUGUAUAGUUGAAUUCUCUUGUAAAUACUAAUACUUUAUAAUUGAAUUCUAUUGUUUUGGUA